CAUAAAUAGGUAGGAGCAGUUUUGCUAAAUACCAAAAGUAAGGACAAAAUCUAGCUUAUGUAUUUGAACAUGAAGUAAGUAAGAGCAUAAGUGGACUUUAUUUUCAGUUCCUGUUCCCCUGUACUGUAGAUUACUGAGAUGCAAUUAAUGUAUAACUUCAGUGAUGCAAAACUCAUCAAAUAAAGUGCUAAACAUGCAUACCAGGGGUGCAAGAGCCUUUGGACAGUGGUGUUAAAGUGUGCAUGGCUUUAUGAGUGGGAGCCACAGGACAGGGCAAGACAGAAACAGAAGUGAUGUAACAUUUAAUUGCAAUUACACACUAAGAAAAUGAUCAAACGUAUGAAUACUUUCCAAGAAGUCUCUGCUGCUUCAAAACAGACCUGACCAUGGGAAAACUGCUACAAACUUAUCCAUACACCCAUACAUCAGAGAAAAUUAGGUUGGGAAUGACCUCUUAUGUUAUAUGAAUUUAGUACAUUUUAGAUGAAAUGACCUGAAUCUGAAAGCACUUCAGCAACAAAUAACAUGAUAAAGGGCAAUGCCAUCGGACAGCUAUACAGACUUCUUUGAGAGCAGACAAUGAUUUUUUCUACAUUAAUGAAGACUGUAGUGUUGCUUUUUUAAGAAAAGAAAAUCCAUGAUCCAUAAUGAAUCCUAUUGCAGUUUAAUACUUUAAUGUUUGUGGCAAUAUUUCACUGGCCUUUCAAAUAAAACAAAGUAAUUCACUCAGCAUAUAAUAAAACUUUUCUGUACAGCAUUUCAACAAUAUUAGAGUCCCAUAGCUACACCAAAAAAGUUCAUAUUUUCAAAUAACAAUUAGAUUUAUUUUAAAAAAGUAUAAUCCUUUACAGCUUUUUGCUAGAUGACACACCAACAUGUGCUUAGUCCCAGCUUUAUUACCUAGAUUUAAAUGUUAAGAGUACAUGCAAAUUUGGACAAAGUACCUUUCACACCUUAUUUUGUGUCAUCUAAGGAGGAUGUUCCUACUCCAUCCAAAGAAGAAGAGCUACUGCUACAGGGCUAGUGUGCGUUAUCUUUUCUAUUGCAGACGUAAUCACCUUGUUAGUGCGUAGGAAAAAAAAGAAAAAAAAAAAAAGAGUUUUAGUUCAACCUAGAAGGCAAGGUAAUUGAGUGUGAAUCUGCAUUAACUAUAACAGAUUGUGCAACUGAUAUACAAGUAUGGCAGAUAUGCUUGUAAAACUCCCUGGGUUAUGUACGUUCACAUAAUUGGUAAAUGUUUGAAGAGCUAUAUAGCAUUCUUAGCAUGUCCACAAACAGAUCCUGAUAUAUUAUGUCAUUACUUUUGAAAAUCUGGGCACAAAUAUUGGAAGUCCCUGUGCAUCUGGCAAGAAAUGUAUGGGAACUGCAUUUAUUGAAUUUGUACCAAGAUGUGACCAUCUUAUAUCUUUCACAUGCAUUAUCUGCUUGUCUGUCUGCCUGUCUAUCUAUCUAAGCACGUAAUUGUGAAUGCUGAAUAUUUCUUGUAUUUUGGUCUUCAUACAAAUAAAAGAUGUUUGGCAUCUUGAGGACUGGACCUCCAUACAUAUACAAAAAUUUCUAAUGUAAAAAAACAAAUCUAUAGAAUGUUACUAAUUAGAUUAUUUCUUCUCAUAUUUGACAAUCCUAAUUGAAAUAAUGUUUAAAAUAAAAUGAUGUUUACUGAAUGUUUAGGGUUGUCCAAUCUCGCUUUUCCACAUUCGUGUUGAACAAGCUUCUCUGUAAUCAGAUUCAGAAUGAAUUUAGCAGUCUAAACUUUCUGCUAAAUGUUUUUUCCAUCUCUUCUUUAUGCACAGUUGAGACUUUUCAGCUUUUGUCUUUUUUUUAAUUUAUUUUAUUUUAUUUUAUUGGCCAUAUGAUAUAUUUGAUGGCUUUUUUUUUUUCUUCUUGUUUUUCAUUAAUCUUUCAACAGUCUAGAUAAAUGCAGUUCUGUGCCUCUCUUUUAGUCUCUUGACCCUUAAACAUUGCCUUUUUCAAGGAAGAAUUAUAGUUCAGUUCCAAGGAACCCAGCUCUUCCUAAAGUAAGACAUCCAGGGCAUUGGAAGAUGUUGUGUGACUGAGUCCUUUACAAGGUUCAGAUAGUAAAUAUUUAACUACACCUCUUUGUUGUCUUUUUUUUUUUUCUGUCUUUAACAGCAUUCCAUGGAGUGAUAUGUCACAGCAGUAGGCUGUGACUAGGGUGUGUCACUUUCUCCUUUCCUUUUCAAUGUGAUCAUAGCGGCUACAUUUUAUUAAAAGGCCACAUUUCCAAAUCUCUUCAUUGUAGCACUCAUAAAGUCCUGUUCUUGUAAAGAUAUACAUUUUAUUUCAAUUGCUGCAUACAAAUUACUAUCUCGUGUUUGGGUAAAAACGUAGGGUUCUUAAUAUACUUUCUGGAGUCACUCAAAUGUACGCUAUGUUCUACUUAGUCAAAAUAAAUAAAAAAUCUGCCACAAAAGAGGUGCUAUGCUUCUGUACAGUCUUCUAUGGAGAUUUAGGAAGAGUGAUAUUUAAGUGGGCUUGAGGAAAUGAAGUUCACAUGCAAAAUUGUAGACCAAACAAACACAAUGCUUGCAAAAGUCAGAAAUGGACACUCAUUUUCUUUGCAAUGAGAUAUACUUUGGAUGGGCUUUUAGGAUUACUUUAAAAAUGAAAGGGAGAAAAUCUCCAUAACCAAAAGUACAGAGCAAAUAUUAUCCCGAGACCUCAGAAAUUUACAGGUUGUUACAAGCGUACCCCUAACUCUCACAUUUUGACAGUAAACCAUCAUGUUGUUCAUCCUUAAUUCAGAUCCUUCUCUUUGUAAAAUUUCCGUUCCUUUCAUUUUCUGUUCACAUGAGCAAUAAACCAUCUAUGAUAACAACACUACAAAUGAAGCAGCACCCACAGGGGAAUAAACAAACCUUAUUUCCUAUUGAUCGAUAUACUUUGCAAAUUCCCUUUGGUGCACUUUUAAAAUUAAUCUAUUUUGGUUACAAUUUUCCUGAUGAAAUAUUAUAGCAUUAAGUUAGUCCUUUGAGAGACUCUCAGAAUCUUAUUUUAGAUGAUGAAAUUUCACUGGUUCUUUUUGCAAUGACUGACAUGCAAAACCUCCACAAACAAAACAAGUUAGAAGAAAAAAGAACAGAUUUCACAGGCAAGUAUUUAAGCUAACAUGAAAAAAAGAAGUAGGGUUUGCAUAUGCAAGCAAACAAAAAACAAGCAAACAUAUGUAAAUAAGGAGGAAGAAUAUGAGAAGCAUUAUAUUUUUUGAGGGAGAUUAGAUUUAAACUAACUUAAUUUAAUCUAAUGAUAGAUUAAAUAGAUGUUAAAUAUGACGUGCCACAUUCAGUAAGAUAUUUAAGCAGUACCACAAAUGCUAAAAUUAGAUACGCAAGUCUGCAUUGCUUAGUGUUAUAAAAUCUUAAAAAAAAAAAAAAAAAAAAAAAAAAGUAACAGGUAAACAGUUUUAUCCUUUUUUUCUUGUCUGUUCGAUGUUCUUUUUCAAAGGAAUUACUGUCUGGGCCUAUCUUCAAUCACCAAAUACAAUUAUUACAGUACUCUUUUUUCCUAAAAAUAAACGAUACAGAAGAAAUGUGAUAACUUGGUGACCAAGACAAUGAUAAAUGAUAUGUUUUUAAGAGUGACCAUUCAGUAUAAAUCUCGCUUCCAGUGUGUUUGAUGUUAUACCCUGUCAGUUAAGUAUCUCUUGUUAUUUCAAAAAUCCAGUCAUUACCCUUUUGAAGCCUCAGAGAAACUUAUUAGCAAAGGAUUUAUGGCAAUUCUGAAUUACUUUCAGAAAGGUACAUCACAUUUGCAGCUGCAACCCAGCAUAUGUAACAGCUGUCCCUACAGUGUCCUUGUACUGUAUUGGUGUCAUCCUGGCAUCACUUUAAAAUCUAAAUGCAUCUGUUUCACAUUUAAUUUUUGUACUCAGAUGACUAACUUAUCUGUAUUACAAGUUAGUAUAGGAUGUUUCAGUCAUUAUUAAUUGUACAUAGAUGUUUAAAAACAAAAAACAAAAACCAACCAACCAAAAAAAAAACAGCCCUUGUCCCCAGCAUUGGCUGUUCACAAGACUACAUACAGACAUAUAUUUUGGUAAACCACUUCAGGUAGAUUAAAAACGAAAUUGGAGUUCUCUCUGAAUUUAUGCAAAAGCGAACAAGCAGAUUAAAUGCUUAGAAACAACUUCAUUUAGUACUGGAAAAUUGCCAUUACUGUUUUACUAGUGCUCUGACAACUUAUAGCAUAUAUCUAAGUCUAACGCAUCACGAACUCUGACAAGCUAAGUCAUUCUCUUCCCCUGUCAUGGGUAUAAUGUGAUGCUAACAACAGCCAACACAUAUCAGCUGUGUUUUGUUAAAAGCAAAUGAUCAGUAUGAAAUAAUAUAAUUUUUAAAUAUUCUUUUUGAAGUUGGUACCAACUAUGAAAUCGGGAAAGAAUGAAUAAAAAGUUGUUGCCUUACCACCUGUUUCCUCAUAAAUCUGAGGACCAUUUCAAAUUCCAGUUGUAAAGGAAAACAUAUUUGAUAUAAAGUAAUUCCACAGGCAAACUGGUGAUGUGAUGGAAUUUGAAUUUUGAAAGUACCUUUUGUAUUACGGACAGAAAUUGACAACACAUCUGGAAGAAGCAGGGAAUUGGGGAACUAGCAUUUCUUCUGGUAGAAAACAGAAAAUCUUAGGUUAGCAGAUUGGCUGAGGGGCAGCUGAAAUUCUUUACUAGCUAUGCUUUGCAAUCACCUACACUUAAAUAAGUUCUUGAACAAUCUUAAACAAAUUCCUGUGUUAUUUUGCUACAGCAAUAUAGUAAAAAGAAGUUUGAAUAGCUGUGUUACAUUAUUUGCCAGCAUUUCUGUGAUAAAAGCACCAAUAAAUUCCAGAUGUGCCAUGGACAGUAGGUUCCCAGCAUCUUCUGACAUCAGCAGCAAUUACUGUGAUCUUUCUCUUUUCUUAUUAGAAAUCAUAGCAACACAUGUAAGUCUUAACUGCAACAUUUCAAAGCUCUGGCAAAAACUAUCAUUUUAUGAUUUGCAGUUUUGUAAAUUUAUGAAAUGUUUAUGCAUGAUCUUAAUUUCAGAGAGAACACAGUUUAACAAAGGGAAUCUAAGACAACUGAUCCCUUUUUUUGUUAGUUAAUGCUGGAGUUUUGAUUAUAAAGAUAAGGUUGUCUGACUUUUUAAAAUUCUUUUUUGCUCUUCGUUAUUUUAAUAUGAACUAAAUUUAAAAUAUUAUAUAUAUGAUAAAUAAAUAUAAUUACAUAGUAAACUGUAGGAAUUUAUCAUGUAUUUUUAAGAGACAUUUUGCAUCCUAGGAACUAGUAUUUCAGAAUACACAAAUGAAAAAUGGUAUCUUGUACUACACAAAGUAUCAUGUCUAUUUGAUAGUAAAGAGUCCUGAAAUUCAUGGGAUAUACCAGUCUCUGCUUUCUGCUUGUUCUUCUCGGCAGCUAUCAUCUCUGUACAAACUUCCUAGCUCUCAUUCUGAACCAGGUUCAAUGGUUUUAAACAACAAAAUGCUGUUCAGCUCAUCUCUUCUGUCAUCUGUUUGCUCCUGUUGUAUUUCCAGUUUAAGAUCCAAAAGAUAUAGACAUGCAAUUUUUGUUUUUUCUUAAUGAGCACAUUUACUAUCUUCCAUAUUGUAAUCUACUCAAGUUAAAAUUGAACAAAUAAAUGAAUAAAAUAGAUCACAAAAGUAAUUGACUCCUUGAACCAUAGGUUGCACACUGUUUCAGGUUGUCCAUGGAAGUAUUUUUGUUCAUGGAAUAUUCAACAAUUUUGGCAAGAAUUGGGCUUGGAUUACUUUUUUACGGUUACAUAGAAAUCUACAUUCUAAAAAAUCACAGAAUGCCUGAGUAUUAAUUACAGGGCUAAAAACAGAUAUGUUAAAUCAACUGUAGAAUUUUAAAUGGUGUUUAAAGAUUUACGGGAAAAACAAUGUCUAUGUCAGAGUAACCUGAAGGUGCAAUUCAGUACAAACAAGCUUCGCUCAGCAAUGACUAGAACAGCAGAAGACCAAGAUAGUAUUUCCUGUAGUACUUGGUGAACUAAUAUUGAAGCCUAGAAUGAGUUUUAUUGUUGACUCCUGGAAAAUAUUCUCAAAGGACAAGACAUCCUUCUCUCUUGAGGAUACAUUAGUCUUGGGGUUUUCUAGUUAUUUUAUUUUUGCUGGAGGGCAAUACAGAAAAAAAAUUAACCGUAGUUUUUCUCAUCUUGAAAAUGAUUUCAUUUCUGAGCCACUUAAACCUUUUCCAAGGCUUUCUGAAUUAGCUUGGUAAACAAUAAAAAACAAACCAAAAAUAUGUAUAUAUAAAGAGAAACAAAAAUGCAGAUACUCUGACGAAAAAAAAUGCAUCCAGCAACUGAGGUUGUUGUUCUCUGUUGUAUUUUUCUCUGAUGAAUCCAUGUGGAGUGACACCAGCCAUCUCUCUGGAAUAUAUCACUCUUUUCAAUCUCUGUAAUGGUGAACUACUCCUUAAAUAGCUGCACAAUUUUCUUUAGGCAACGGAAGGCAUUAGAAGGGGAAGAAAGGGAUACCAAUUCUUUUUCAGAACAAAACAAAAGAAAAGAUUAUUCACUCUUUGAAAGAACCAAUUCUGCUCAGAACCUUUUGUGCACUCAUGUCUGAAGGCCAAUGCUGAAUGUCAAGGUAGUAGAAUUCCUGACAAGGGACAUAGUGGUAGUUGCUAAUUGCCAAAGUGCUUUGAAUAGGCAGCUCUUACAAAAGAUACAUACGCAGAAUUCCUGCUACUACCAUGGCAUGUACUGUAUAAAAUCUGUUGAAUCUUAGUAGUUAGAAGCCCUGCAAACCACAGCCUGUUGUGUGUGUGCAGACAGGAAUAAAGCCUGAAGACGUGGUUAUUGUGCCUUCAGGCUGAUCAUCUGCAGGUUGGAAGGAACUGGAGCUAUUGGGGGACACCUCUCCCAUGCACGCUUAUUGCUCUGCUCACUGAGCAGGUUGAAGGUGCUGACUGUAAUCAGCGCAGGCUGGCUUCUCUGUGAGGAAAGAAUAUGAAACAGAAUAUCGCAUGCUGAAAUAGACAUACUGCAUCAGUGCAAAAGCUGUCAACAUACAUGAUCUAGGACAACAUUUCCCCAGUUGAAGUGUAGCUAGUGCUUAAUGAUAAAACAAAUAGAAUUAUGCCAUUGCUUCAAAAUAAAAUAGUUCCAUAGUACUUUGAUACCCAAAACAGCGGGAGAUAAGCAAACACUGUAGUCAUGCAUAGACAUGAAGACUGAAAUAAAUGUAGAUAAUGUCCUUGCCAUUUCUCUGUGAUCUGCAGAACAGAUUAUAUGCAUUUUUUAAAUUUUACAACAAUCUGUAGUUGACUCAGAAAAAAAAUCCAGAUCUGUCUUUUUCCCCUUCCUAAAUACAGACAGGUGCUUAGAGAUCAUAGCUUUCCUCAAAAUAAGCACCUGCAUCAGGAAAUUUAAAUCUAGGUUUAAACCAUAUAAGUAAAACUGAAAUCAGUAGGAGGUGUGCAAAACUAUUAAAAACUUAGAAAUAUUUAAAGAUUUUUAUACAGAUUGUGUGUUUCAAGUAUUUAUUUAUUUAUUUAUUUAUUUUAGAAACACCUAUUCCACAACUUUUUAUUGAGAUUGGAAUUAUUGUAUGAUCUGGCAACCCUCUUUAAAGACUUUAAGUUCUUCCUUACUUAACUUCAACAACACCAUUGAGACUGUCUAGCCUAAUUUGUGCUUUUUACUGUGAAAGCAGACUUGUUGGAAAUCAGCUUUCUUAGAAAUUUUUGCAUAGCUAUUAACUUUCACAGUUUCUCAUUUUAAACAAAAUAAAAACAACAACAAAAAAUUGAACAAAACAAAAAAAAAAUGAGGAACUUGUUGCCAGUGAUUUUGUAGUUGCUUGGAACUCUUCCAGUGACCUGGCAAAAUAGAGAAGCCUCAAGUCUGUCAUGAAGAUUGCAAGGCAAUUCCCAAGAUACGUGUUCCUAAUUCCACUGUAAACAACCUUGUGUAUCCCACCUGGCUUGCCCAUCAAGUUCUGACAGUGUGUGAAUCUUCUUUGAAGUCAAUGUCAUUAUUCUACAGUGAGUAACCCAGAUAUGGCAAAUUAUCUCAAAUGGUGCUAGACAUCUUAUGGUUAGGUAACUCAGUAAUAUCUCCUAUUGCUGUUCUAUUGCAUAAAUGAAUAACAUAAUGUUACAGUUAAAGUCAUGGACUAAAAGGAAUGUAACUGCUAUGUGAAUCUAAGUAUUUACCACUAGCAUAAGGUCUUGACAGUCUAAUCAUAAUGCAAUUAAUAUUUUUUUAUUAGACAUUUUACAGUGCUGCUAACACUCACAAAACAAAUUAAUAUAGAAAAAAAAAACUAAAUAAAAAAUAUUUUAAAAACUAUAUAUUUAAAAUUAUUUGGCCGUUUAGAAGUUUUCUAAACUACCUAUUUACUCAAGUGUAGUGUUCACCUUUGGAGGUGUGCAUUUGGGUCACAAUGUCCAUAGCACCCAUCUUCGAGAUAUUUAUAGGUAUAAGUGUUACAUCAACUUAUGAGUAGCAUGGCAUUCAAAGUAGAGUCUUUUUAUACUCAGUCUUGGAUCUGCCCCAAGUUAUUAGUACAUGUUUUCUUGAGGCCAUCUGACCUCCUGCAUUUUUUUCCCCCACUGGUUCAAAUCUACAGUUUUAUGAUGUGCCUAUCCUUGCCUUCUCCUUAUUAAAGACAUUCAACAGAGUUUCCAGCAAGUCCAUUAUCAGAAAAGGCUUUUUUUUGUUUGUUUGUUUUGUUUUGUUUUGUUUUGUUUUGUUUUGUUAUACAGGG
ensembl:lncRNA